rnacentral:RNase_P_RNA from 1 species
UUUGCUGGGUGUGUGCUCGCUCGUAAAGAGAGGUAUUCGAGAGGAAAGUCCGGACAUCUCAUGGCGUGAUUCCAGGUGAAAAUCUGGGCUGCGAAAUACUAUUCGCAGACGGAAAGUGCAACAGAAAGUAUACCGCCGAGAGGUAAGGGUGAAAUGGCGAGGUAAGAGCUCACCGUGGUUGGAGUAAUCCAACCAGCAAUGAAAACCCAAUCAGAUGCAAGGCAAAAUAGGCGAAUGGAUUGCCAGUCCCAUAUUCGCGGGUUUGCCGCACUCCCCAGCGGGAGAGUGAAGUUCACUAGAUAGAUGAGCACAUCGGCGAAUGUCGAACAGAAUCCGGCUUAUAUCCCAGCAAAACAU